AGUUUUCAGGAAGACCAGUAAAAAAUCAUAGUACCAUUUAAAAUCCAACCCAUCAUUUCAAGCGGGUUUUAAAUAGAAGGUAUUUCAAAGCAGGGAGGGAGGGAGCCGGAUAGAGAGUUUCAUAAGUAUGGGGCCACCACAGAAAAGAACCUGUCUCUUGUGCCUGCCUGUCUCCUGUAAUACGGAAUUUUAAAAAUCUGCUUUUUAGUGGUUAUUAGUUGCUUUGGAAAAGCAGCAUAUAAAAUCUUUAGAUAACUAAAAGUGUCAUCAUGUCAUCUGUCUGAGGUAUGUCAACUGUCUAUUUGUCAGCUGCUCUGCUCCUGGAUCUGAUAUGGGGAGGGCAGCCAGACCCCUCCCUAGCAUUGAGAAGAACAAGGGGAACUUCACCAAGCCCCUCCCGUGAGAAUUUCAGCUGCUAUCAAUGGUAAUUGAUAGAGGAACCCUGAGGGAAGAACGAUGUGGCAGGAAUUAUCCAGUCCCCAUAAGCAGCCAAUCCACAUUUUUCUUCUUGUUCAUUUUGAAUAGAGACUAUUUAUUAUUGAAAUUGCUUGUAAUAAUGAAUGAAAGCUGCUGAAAAUGUGAAUAUAUCCUGCCCUUGUGCAUUGCCUGUUUGAAAACUUGAGCAUGUCUGGCUUAUUAAAUAAAAUGUUUAUUUCAAAGAAAGUGAUUGGUGUCUCUCACAGCUCACUUAAGAAUAGGUUUUAAUUUUCCCUGAAUGUCUGCUGUGGGUUAGGGAGCUGGUGGCUGUUUUUAAUUUUGCACAACCAUCUAGCAUAACAUAUGAAAAAUAAUUGCAUUACGAGUGCUGAGUACAUUUCAUACCAAAAAUGCAUCUGUUCUAAAUCUAGUAUGUAAUUGGUUGGUAGUAUUGCAAAGCGGAGGGAGACGAGACAAACUGGAGGAACCCUAAUAAUUCAUAACGUUGAGAAUCAGCAUUUGCAGUAUUUUUGUGGCUUGCUGGGCAUGGUUUCAGUCAUCCUUUAAAUCCUUUUUCAACUCAGUAGUUCUGGUGCUUCCUUAAACAUGUGUGCAAUGCCCUAUGCUCUUGAGUAAUGUCUUGGUUUUUUUUUUGGAAAACCCAAGGGGUUAUACAGGGGUUAAGUUCUGGGCCUCUGCGUUCAUAAGCAAAAUGGGCAUAUGUGUGGAGCCCACUGCAGUAGUUAAAGCUUCCUGCCCAAUAGCUGUUGUGUGGGGUAGCGCAGCAGCAGCGAUAGCUCCCAUCCACCAUUUUGGAAAUCUUUUUUGGAGUCGGUUUCCCCCCUGUACUUUUGGCUUGCUGACAUCCUCUUCAGGCUCUUUGAGGGAGGGUUUCCUCAUAUGAGCCACUAUGACUUUCCAUCGCUCUCCUGCCAUUUCAGGAUAUAAUUGAAUUAUUUAUUUCUGGGCGCAGGUGUCUGUAAGUAAGUCAGUACAGUGGACGCUCAGGUUGCGAAAGUGAUCUGUGAGGGAUGCAUGUUCGCAAACCUGCAGAGUUCGCAACCUGCGUCUGCGCACGCGCGGGUCACGAUUCGGCGCUUCUGCACAUGUGCGACUGCCGAAACCCAGAAGUAACCCGUUCCGGUACUUCCAGGUUUCGGCGGUCCAUAACCUGAAAAAACGCAACCUGAAGCGGCUGUAACCCGAGGUAUGACUGUACUGGAGCCAAAGGAGGUGAGCUAAAUGGUAUCAGGUAAACAUUGAAUCUGCAUCACUACCCAGUUAUGUCCAAAUAACUGGGAACUAGGAAACCAGAAAGCUAAAAUAGCCUCCUUACUUCAGUAGGUCAGUGUCUGUCAUCUCCUAGAUCUGGUCUGGUAAGAGUCAUGCUCUUGGCAAAACAAACUGACUUUGUCUUCCUCCAUCUCUACUUUUGCCUCAUCCCUCUCAGCUGUGCUCCCCCACCCUUUGUCUGAAAACACCUGGAACCAUGAUCCUGAAGCCUGACUGUACAGUAUAUGCAUAUGCAUAUAUUUCCAAAUUUUUGUUUUUCUUUAUUUCAGCUACAGUAAUCGGCUGUAGGCUGGGGGGAGUCAACAACAGAAGGUGCCUAUAGUGAUUUGUUUUUACUGCAUAACAAAUUACAGUUAUCUGCGCUGGCCAAUAUGUCUGGCAGCAUUCUUAUUUCUGGCAAAGGAGAGGCCUUGGAAAGAAUUGUUCAUAAAUUCCCAGGUACCAGAUUCUCAGUGUGCACGUGAGAUUUCUGGGAAGCAUUGGUAUGGAAGCCAUUUCAUUGGAUGGAAUGCUUGACUAAACUGGACACUGUGGCUAUUAGGGAAUUACAUUGGCUCUGCUUUACAAAUAUGUAUAAUAAACAGCAACUAUAAAUGUGCUUGGGGGGAAAAUAUCAGUUGAGAUGAUACCAAAUCCAAAGCCAAACCAGUAAUUUAUUAAUAUUAUUCUACAUUAUGCAUUAAAGUAAACGUCCCAUUUCCAGGAACAGUGUUUGAUUUCAACAGAAAUCUGUCGAGUUUUUUGUGGUAUGGGGAUGCAUUCUCAAGAUCUUGAAUUAUUUGGUUGUCUUUCUGCUCUCCUUUCCUUCUCUCCUUUCUUACCACUAUUAAGGAAGCUUCUGUUAAUAGCAACUUCUUUGUGGUCUCUGGAAAAACUCCAUUCUGAAAUGUGUGGUUCUCUGACAGUGACCAGCCCUAAAAUCCCAUAUGGGGUGUCCUCUCCCAUUACAUGAGGGUUUGAGGGCAGAUUUCGCUUAGCUCUAGGUUCCAAACGCUCCUUUCCACAGGGGCAGACCCCCACUUGAGCAACAGCAGAUAACCUCCGGGAGAACCACACUCACAGGUAAGCAACUUGUUUUUGCAAAGGCCUGCCCUUUCCAAAUUAUUGAAAUCUGGGCUGCGUUAACUUCCUCAGUCUCGGAACUCUGUGCAUCUUUAUCUCCAUUUAUUAGUUCCUUCAUUAUGACACUGCAUUUAAUGCCCCUGCUUGACUAUUACCCAUUUAAAUAGUUCAUUCUUUAAGCCCAUUUAAUUCUUUAUCUAAUUGAUUAAUAAGCUCACAAGUAUUAUCUUAUUCCCAGCACAUUAGCAAUCAGUGUCUCUGGGCCAGCCCCAUAGUCUAAUUGAAGUGCAGCCGAGUUUCUCUUUUCAAGGCUAUCACAGAUAAGGAGCCAGAGGCAAAGUGCUCUUUUCCUGCAGAGAGGAAGUUAUUCACAUUGCCCCCUAAUGAUCGCUCUUCUGGCUAGCAUUUGUCUUGAGCCACCGAUGAGCACUUAAUUGGAAAUAUUUCCAAUGAAAUGGGCAGCUUUUCAGAGAUCCAGUAGUGAUAAGCAAUAAAUUGGAUUCUUUAAUAUCCUCUGCCUUCAACCAUUUUAAUGGAAGAGCUAGCAGGAAAUACUGUUUAAGAACUUAGGUUGUUGUUCUGCGACUGCUCAUUAUUCAAGUAUAACCUCAGCCGGAGCGUAUCUUUUAUCAAAAGCCGCAAAAAGAACUUGCCUGAAUUCAUUUGAUGGGCAUUUUCUAUCCAGUUCAUUGUUUCAUUAGGUCAUCAUGUAUCAGUGGCAGGUAGCGUUAUCCAAGACAGAUAAUAUUGCCUCACAGAAGCUGGGAACUUUGAUCAACGUAUCAAAGGGCUCAAAUGGGUUGUUGGUUUUAUGUCACCUAAGUAAUGGGGUGACUUCUUGUUUCUGUUAAGAAAGUGAAGAUGCAGAGGUGUCUCAUAGUACCAUUAAGUAUGGGAACCUGAUCUGGCAGAACUUGACAACUUGAUUUCUUUUGGUUAUGUUUGCUGUAACAGUGGAGAAAGAGUUGGACACGACUAAACGGCUAAACAACAACAGCAAACAGUGGAAUAAGUACUCACAUGUUGUAAGGAUAUGCCCAGUUCAUGCUUCUUAGUCCUCAAGAUCUACAUGGAGAUCUAUCUCACUGCAUACAGUCGUCUGACCACUAGUUGGUGCAAGUGAAAACUACUGUCUUACUCUGUGUGGUUUUGUGGCACAAACACAUUAAAAAAACAAAACACACACAAAAACGAUCCACUGUGGAACAACCCAAAAUAAUUCACCUGCAAAACUGAUCAAUACUUUUACAUGCACUUGUAUUACUUUUAUUGUUGCAAAUCUGAUUGUAUAUAUUUGUAGAAAGCAAUGAAAAUGAAAUACAGUGGUACCUCUGGUUAAGAACUUAAUUCAUUCGUUCUUAACCUGAAACUGUUCUUAACCUGAGGUACCACUUUAGUUAAUGGGGCCUGCCGCCGAGCCGCUGCCGCACGAUUUCUGUUCUCAUCCUGAUGCAAAGUUCUUAAUCUGAGGUACUAUUUCUGGGUUAGCGAAGUCUGUAACCUGAAGCGUCUGUAACCCGAGGUACCACUGUAAUGAUGAUGUUCACUAAUAAGAAGCUCUGGGAAUCAAGCUUUUAGAGAAGGGAAAGGUCCCCCAGUUUCAGUUGGGCAAAAAAUGCUCAAACUUGCCUUUUUCUUCCCCACAAAUUCUAAAUUUGCUCAUAAUUUCUGUCACCCUAAGAGGCCUCAGAUGGCUGUGGCUGAGGUGGGACCUUCUGCUGUUUCUGUGGCACUUCUAGCAAUUCAACACCCACCCACCCCAAUUUUCUGCUCUUUCUCCAGCAGCAGCAAGAGUUGGAAAGACUGGGGUCUUCUCCUCUCAACCCCAACACAUGGGACAUUGCUAGGGCAGGUUGCACAGGGAACCCUGGGAGGUGCGAUUUCCCCACAUUGCCGGAUGGAAUGUCAAGACAUCUAGAAAAAUUACGCUUUCAAGGACUCCCUGCUGGGGAAAGAGAGAGUUUGUGAAGGAGCCAUGAAUUUUCAGGUUUUAGCAGCAUCUGUAAUAGGAAUAGUUCAAAUAAAUAUUCAAAAGGUACCUUCAUGCAUAUUUCUCAUUUGUAUUAUAGUAUGCCUUUUGGAAAAUAUUUUAAUUUGAAGAAUAGUUGGCUGGUGGUGGCUGGUUUUUCAUUUUUUGCCUUACCACUAUAGAGUUGUGUGAAUAUCUGAACAGGCUGUUUAAAAUACAUAGUCAAGUGUUAAGGCUUUCGUUGCUUGUGGAGUUGUGGGUCGACUUGCAUCUCCCAGUGGUCUCAUCUCACGUGUUCUUUAGCAUAUCAUUUCUCAGUGGCAAUCUGCUGUUUUAGAAUAGCAGCUUGUAUGAACAACUAGUGAAUAAAUGGAUGGUUUCAGUGCCACACAGGGUGGAUAAAAAUCAAUGAUUUUUAAAAAUAAAUAAAUAAACAAAUCAGAUUUUUUUUUAAUGUAAAUCAGAUUUUUAAAAUAAAAUGCUUUUGGAGGGAAAAUCUUUCUAAAGAUAGUUUUCUGUUUAAGUUGCAUUAUAGUCCAAUGGCUUUUCAUCAGGAAAUAAGGAUUUGUUUUAAGUUUUUCAUGUGUGCUAAAACUCAUUCUAAGUUGUGUGUUGUUGUUUUUCUUAAAAACAACAACCUACGUUUAACCACAUCAGUUAACAAACAUGGAUACAUAUGCUAUAAUGUUAUUGCUUUAGUUGAAUAAAUUGUUUAAAUUGUUAUGAAGGAAAUGAUUAUUUUUCUCCUUCCGAUAAAGUACAGCAGAAAAGUUGUCCAAAUAUAAACAGUUAACUUAUUAAACCUCACAAUAAUUUCAUAAUUAUCUGUCUAUGUAUUUCUAACAGUAUAACCAAAUCACUAAUUUUUGAUAUAACUGUAAAAACUAUUCUGAAAAUUUAUUAUUCCAAAAAUGAAACCUUCCUCUGGUUGUGAAAUAUUAAGAUUAUACUAGCAAGAAUGAGUCUUUCCGUAAAAAAAAAAAGAUUUAAAUCAAGUCUUACUGACUAGUGAUCUAAAUCAAUUUGAUUUAAAUCACAUCCACCCUGGUGUAACAUGUUUGUUUCUCCUUUUGAAAGAAAUGGAAAUUACUUGAAAAUUAAAGACAUCUUGGGAGCC
rnacentral:lncRNA from 1 species